AGUGAACGCUGGCGGUAGGCCUAACACAUGCAAGUCGAACGGCAGCACAGUAAGAGCUUGCUCUUACGGGUGGCGAGUGGCGGACGGGUGAGGAAUACAUCGGAAUCUACUUUUUCGUGGGGGAUAACGUAGGGAAACUUACGCUAAUACCGCAUACGACCUACGGGUGAAAGCAGGGGAUCUUCGGACCUUGCGCGAUUGAAUGAGCCGAUGUCGGAUUAGCUAGUUGGCGGGGUAAAGGCCCACCAAGGCGACGAUCCGUAGCUGGUCUGAGAGGAUGGUCGGCCACACUGGAAGUGAGACACGGUCCAGACGCCUACGGGAGGCAGCAGGGGGGAAUAUUGGACAAGGGGCGGAAGCCUGAUCCAGCCAUACCGCGUGGGUGAAGAAGGCCUUCGGGUUGUAAAGCCCUUUUGUUGGGAAAGAAAAGCAGCAGGUUAAUACCCCGCUGUUCUGACGGUACCCAAAGAAUAAGCACCGGCUAACUUCGG
rnacentral:rRNA from 1 species